GAUGAACGCUAGCUACAGGCUUAACACAUGCAAGUCGCGGGGCGGCAUGGGGGUUGCUUGCAACCCCUGAUGGCGACCGGCGCACGGGUGAGUAACGCGUAUCCAUCCUGCCCUUCAUCACGGGAUAACCCGGCGAAAGUCGGCCUAAUACCGUAUGUUGUCCAUUGACGGCAUCCGAUUUGGAUGACGGGCUUGGCGGUGCUCGCAUGGAGUCGCGUCCGAUUAGCUUGACGGCGGGAUAACGGCCCACCGUGGCUACGAUCGGUAGGGGUUCUGAGAGGAAGGUCCCCGACACGGGAACUGAGACACGGGCCAGACUCCUACGGGAGGCAGCAGUGAGGAAUAUUGGUCAAUGGGCGUAAGCCUGAACCAGCCAAGUAGCGUGCAGGAUGACGGCCCGAUGGGUUGUAAACUGCUUUUAUGCGGGGAUAAAGUGGCCCGCGUGUGGGCUUUUGCAGGUACCGCAUGAAUAAGGACCGGCUAAUUCCGUG
rnacentral:rRNA from 1 species